rnacentral:rRNA from 1 species
UACGAAGGGGGCUAGCGUUGCUCGGAAUCACUGGGCGUAAAGCGCACGUAGGCGGAUCGUUAAGUCAGGGGUGAAAUCCUGGAGCUCAACUCCAGAACUGCCUUUGAUACUGGCGAUCUUGAGUCCGGGAGAGGUGAGUGGAACUCCGAGUGUAGAGGUGAAAUUCGUAGAUAUUCGGAAGAACACCAGUGGCGAAGGCGGCUCACUGGCCCGAUACUGACGCUGAGGCACGAAAGCGUGGGGAGCAAACAGG